rnacentral:lncRNA from 1 species
GGAAGGGCCAGAAGGCCCGGGCCAGCCCCGGCACAGGAGCAGCGUCCCGGUCAGCACACAUGGUAGUUUAGAAACGCAAGAGCUGCGAUUUGACCCGCCUGGAUUUUUUAUUCAGGAGGCAAGGAAAAGGGGCCAGAGGGUGGAAGGCGGCGUUUCCAGUCGUCUCCUGGGGCCUCAAGCUGAAAGCAUCAAACUGGGCGCGGGCGGGGCGCGGGCUCCCUGGCAACGGCGCACGCGCGGCUAGCCCUGGCCGGGGCCCUGGGCUUGUCGGGCGGGCUUCUUCAAUCCGAGACCGGAGUUCUCCGGGGACGAAUACCGGGGCCACGGAGGCAGGAGGAAAGGGGUAGACCGCGCCGUCGGGGCGGAGGCGGACGGGCGGCCUGAGAAAGUCCUCGAAGACUGCGGGGAAGCUGUGUCCGCUUAGUUUCCGGAAGUGGCCUUUGUAAACUUGACUUCCAGUCCCCCUUCGCUGUCUGUCCCUCCUCCCAGGGUCCUAGAGUCCACCGUGUCCCAACAGUUUCCACUCUCAUCCCCUAGGGCAUCCUGGGGUCGUGGGUGUGCACUGCGGACCACGCGAGACCCCUGAGAAUUCAGUCCAUCUAACUUGUACGUCAUAGACAUCUUGGACAAUUUCAGUCAUAAAUAAGGAAGUAUUUCAUUAAGAAACAGGUAUUUUGAAGAGUUGGAAGAGUUACCAUGAAUAUAAACACUUCACAUAAUGCCAUUGGUGAUACUCAAAGCUCAGAAUUCAGAACUUCAAGAAAAAGCAAAUGGGAUUGAGAAGGUAUUUCAGACUUCCCAACAGAAAUGGAAAGAAGAAUGCAGAAGAUUUGAACGUGACUUGGAAGAAAGAGAUAAUAUAAUUCAAAAUUGCAAUCAAGAAUAUGAUUUACUUAUGAAGGAAAAAAGUAGACUGGAAAAAACUCUACAGGUAAAAUAUUUUAUUGUUGUUUUUAUUUUGUUUUAUUUAUUUUUUGAGACGGGGUCUUGCUUUGUUGUCCAAACUAAUUUCAAACUGAUGAGCUCAAGUCAUCCUCCCGCCUCAGCCUCCUGAGUAGCCAGG